rnacentral:rRNA from 1 species
UACGAAGGGGGCGAGCGUUGUUCGGAAUUACUGGGCGUAAAGGGCGCGUAGGCGGCGACUCUCGUCAGAUGUGAAAGUCCUGGGCUUAACCUGGGGACUGCAUUUGAUACUGGGUUGCUUGAAUUCGGGAGAGGAUAGCGGAAUUCCCAGUGUAGAGGUGAAAUUCGUAGAUAUUGGGAAGAACACCGGUGGCGAAGGCGGCUAUCUGGACCGACAUUGACGCUGAGGCGCGAAAGCUAGGGGAGCAAACGGG